AGAGGCACAGGGAGCUGAGAGAGAGGUCUGCACUGUCUUCAGGCAGGUGGCAAUGCUGAGCUCUGCUGAAAAUCAGACCAUUUCUUUACAUACCGAGACUUGGGUUUGGGAAAAUUUAUCUGGUGGCAGGCUGGUGUUCAAGAUUAGACUAGAACAUGGAUCAGCAGUGCGAGUGGCAUCUGGGCUGCAUUUGGGACAGGUGGGGGCCCCUUCAGUCACAGUUGUGCAAGUUGUGUGAGGAAUUUUAAGUUGGAUGCAAAUCUGGGGCUGUAAUUCCUCUGAUCUGUGCAUGCCACAUUUCCUGGAGCGUAUUCUGGUGCUAGAAGCCAUAUGAGCCAAUGUGUUGAAAAGAGCCUGUUUUAAUGGAUUUUGUAAGUCACUGCGUAACCCAUGGCUCUUCCUAGAGGGUGCUGGUACUUGUUGAAGGACACUGCCUUUUUCUCUUCAGAACUGGCUUCCCUUGCCCACAGUUUCUGAGCUCUGCAGCCUAGGGCUUGCCCUGGCGUCUGUCCAGAGUGAAUAAGAGCUCGCGCAUUCCUCUGGACUUAGUUUAAAUGCUGGCUGCAGGAUAACACUUUAUCUGGCUAAAGCCUUACUAGACAAAGUCCAUUCAAUAUUUUUUAUAUUGCUUUCAGGAAACUUCAGUUAGCCCUGUGAAUUCCUCUCAGGCAGUAGUUUAUAUCAAGUGGCUUCAAAGUUUUUAAUCUUUGAGAGCUGGAGUCCAGCUUCCUGCAUUCCUGAGCCCUCCCCGCAGACAGCUGCUGCCUAUGGUGGCUUCCCUGUGUCACCCUGUUUCUUGAGGCACAUGCAAGUGAAGGGUAGGGCUGAGGACAGCCCUGGGUUGAAGCUCCUGCGCUAACAGUUUCAUUGUUUCUCUCUCUCUGAUGGGAUUCAGAGCAGAGACCUGUAAUUGCAUGGAAGGAUUAUAUUUCUGGUAGGGAUAUGUGUUUUUUCUUUCCUGUUCAAGCCCAGGAGAGUUCAGGCCAUUCUGAGCCUUUGAAAAUUCAUUUUGCUUGUGCUCCGAGGGACUAAGACAUCUUUAUGAGACAACUCCAUGGAGAUUGUUCUGUUCAGAGGGCAUGCUGCCUGCGGGCUGAGCAGGCUGUUCUGUGCAAUUACGUGUCUAAAUUGAAUGUGCUGGAGAUGUGCUUAGGAAAACAGGUGUAGUUUUUACCUAAAAACAAAUGUUAAAUUUAAAAUUUUUAAAAAAAUACAAACAAAAAUCAACAGUUAGACUCUUUGUAGGUCUCUUCAAACUCAGGAUUUUCUAUGUUGCCUCUAAUACAUACAUACAUACAUACAUACAUACAUACAUACAUACAUACAUAUAUAAAAUGUUAUGAAAAAGGCAUGCCAGGAUAACUUUCAAGUGCUUCCUUCUGGAAACUCUAUAAAGUCUGCUGUGCCUGUGUGGCCUCAGCUGGGGCUCUGGUGACAGGUCACACACACUUACCUUUCAUAGAAUGAUGGAAUCAUUAAAGUUGGAAAAAUCCUCUAAAGUAAUUGAAUCCGACUGUUCCCACAGCACUUUCAAGCCCAUCACCAAAUCAUGUCCCCAGGUGCCACAUCCAUACAUUUGCUUAGUACUUCCAGGGAUGGAGGUUCCACCACUGCCCUGAGCACCCUGUGUUCAAAUGCCUAAUUACCCUUGCAAUGAAGACAUUUUCUCUUAUAUCCAAUCUAAAUGUGCCCUGGCUCAGCUUGAGGCUGUUUACUCUUGUAUGUCUUUCUGGCCCAGGAGGCUGCUCUUGCAGGGACCAGGCUAUGAUUUGUUCUGCUGGGGUUCAACAGAGGAGGCAGCAGGGCUUGUAGCUCAAUCAAAACAGCUUUUUCAUGGUGACUGAAACUCUGAGGACUUUUCCUAGAAACUGACUUUAGAAUUGCACCUGAAGUAAGGGGAAAUCUUGCAGGAACAUGCCAGGUUCUCUCUGCUGCUGGCUGCAAAGGUCAGGUUUUUCCCUGGAACACCUACUUCUGUUUGACUAGCCCUGCUUUCCAGAUGUGUGAGGGGUGGGUAGGAUGCACCUGAAGCUUCAAGGCUGUUGUGAGAAGUUUCUUAGUGGCUCUGAAAUACUAAGAUGUUUAUGGAUGCUGUAGCAUCAGUUUAGCAGAGAAAUCCAUAAGGAAAUCAAAUGCACUGACUUCAGUCAGAACUGAAUAGAGGAUAAGUAGCAUCUAUGUAAGUCUUUCAGUGAAAAGUUGAGUUGAAGCAGUGAUUCCCCACACAUGCGCACAUACUGCUUUCAGUCCAGAAGCUCAUAGGUGAGUAAACAUUUACUACCUGACAUAUACCCAAAGAAAGAAUUUUGAAGUUUCCCACACUUAACCUGUGCAGUAUUCAUCUUCUAGCUUAAUUCUCUGUGAGUAAAUGAAAUACAAAUGUGAUUCAAGGUCUUUUCAUGUGUUAAUAACCUCUUGGCAGGCAGAAGAAUAAUGGGUAGGAAUAAAUGCUGUGUUUUCAAAAGGCCGAUUGUCUGCUGAUCCCACAGGAAUGUGAGCUGGUCUUUUGAUUUGUACAAGGAGAUGAAUCAUGAGCUGACAGCUCAGUGUUGAUAGAAAAUUAUUAACGGCCAUAAAAAUAAAGGUUGCAAAGAGAUCUGGUGAGGGUGACAAACAGAGCGAUCAAGCAGCAGAGAGUGUUGUGUCACCAAAAGCAAUGUUUUUUACAUGGGGGAGAGAUCCCUGACUGCAAGUGCAGUGGGAAGCCCCAGUUGUGCCUUUUUGAGGAGGGAAAGACGUUUUCCAGCUUGUAUAUGAAUUUCCAGAAACACAUAGACAUUGCUAGGAAGUGGUCAGAAACCAAAAGAGGGAUCAGGAGCUUUCAGGGAAGGGACUGAGAGCAAAGCACCACUUGGCUGUAGUUUUGCUGUGCCCACUCUGUAUAUCCUGCCCAGGUCCCUCCAAGGCUGAUGAGUGAGGCAGGGAAGGUGACAUGUGAGCUGGAUGUAAAGGAGGGAAGAAGGGACACAGUCAAUGGGACGAAAGAAACUUACGAUGACCUGGGGAAAGCAAGAAGAAAAUUUCUCACUGUGUGCCAUAGCAGAGCUGAAAGCUGCCUGGUUUUGGUGUUGGGCAGCAGGCUCAGGAAUGAUCUGUCCUGAAGCACAGAAUAAAAUCCCAAAGGGCUAGCACAUUGUUCGGAUUGUCAUGACCUUCCCAAAGAAGCAUCUUGAAAAAGACACCUCAGGUGCGCAGGCAUGCCUGUGCUCACGCCAGGUGAUUUCAGCUCUACCAUGAUCCAAGUGACACAGAAGGAGAGACGGGGUCUUAGUGUGGGGUUUCAAGAAGAGCUUUUACUGAGCUUCUUCCUCAAAGGGAUCCACUCAGGCAUCCACUCAGGAAAGCAGGGUUUUAUAUCGGGAUCUUGAGGAGCUGGGCAGAAUGCCAGGGCCAAUGGGCUGAGGGCACAGGGGUGGAGCGAGUGGGAAGGGUCAAUGGGAAUACAUUGAAUCUGCAUGUCACAGCAAAGCAUGCUGGGAGAUCCUUUUUUCCUUACCUUAACAAGGGUGAUUAUGGCUUGAGGGGUUUUCCGUCCUGGAGAGUGUUGUGGGUUUUUUCCCUGUUGGCCCACCAGCCUCCACAGCUCAGAGCAUAAAGAGGUUUAGAAAGAAAUGGGACAAAUGCAAAGAAGGGAGGUCUGUCUCUUGAUGGUUAAUGAUCCAGGUACUACACUGCCUUAGGGUAUUGCUCACCUGCUGUUAGCUAGGAGUUUUUUGAAGGAGGAUAGUAAUUUUUCAGACAUCCUGUAUCUGUUUCUUAUCUUGGUGACAGGUGCAGGCUGCUGCCUUGUCUGGCUGAUGAACAUGGCAUUUCCCAUAUAGGGAAUGGUGAUCGAGAAACAUUGUUGGGAUGUAGAAAGAAACACUGGUGGUGUGAGAAAGAGCAGCUAAAGCAGUGCUGUAGAAUGGGGGAUCCUGGGCAGAUCUAAACCAGGAGAGCAGCACUGCUGGUGCCAAGCCCAGUUUACCUGCUCAGGAGCACCUACCUGUUGGGAAUUGGUUACAUGACAAAGGUCACGUAGACAUGCUCUGGAUAGCUGAGAAUUGGAAAAGUACUGGCCCAGCUAAUCUGGGCCCUGCACCUGCAAGGCCGCAGUGGCCUUGAGUAUAGUUGUAGUCUGAUAACAAGAUGAUGUAGCCGAGAGCAGAGCAUGAGAAAAGGGAGAUGUAAGCUGUAAAGAAUGAAGAAGUAAGAAUAACCAAUAGACUGCUUAGCUUACAGAAUAUGCAUGAGCUUAUUACAUGUUGUGCUUAAAUGUCUGAUGCUCUAAUCAAUAAACGAAGCUUGCUGAUUCUCACAUUGAGAUGACCCGAGUUUCCUACACUGUGACAAAUGGCGCCUCGAACAGAGACCCUAAAAGAGGGGGGAGGCGAAAGGGCUGGUGCUCUACGCCUUGAACAAGGACCCUAAGAGAGGGGGGUUGGCAAAAGAGCUGGUGGUCUCCGUGCCCCGAGCGACCCUACAGAGGAGUCUCGGCUUGAACCUGUUGGCCACGGUCCAGUGCAGUAUCCGUGUCGGUCCCGAAGCAGCACGGGAGGCAAAGAGCUGGUACUCCGGCCCCGAGCGACCCUAGAGAGGAGUCUCGGCCGAUGAACGCCGCCGACAUCUUGGAAGAGCUGCAACAGCGCUGACGUUUAAAUUGAAAGCCGGCAAUUGCAUUCACAGCGGUGCCGGCGGGAGUCGACCCUGUAUUACCCGUGCCGACCCCUCCCGUGGCCGCCUCUCCAGCAGAGCCCGUGAGAGCUCCGGCCGCGGCUGUCCUGCCAUCUCCCGUGUCGGCUCCACCAGCAGCUGUCUGCGCCUGCACCGCAGCUUUCGGCACCCGGAAAGGACGCGGCUGCCGUCCCCAACCCGGCAAGAGAUGCAUUUCCUUCAGCUUUGCAGCCCCCACCGACUCCCGCGGCGACCCCGCCUUCGCCCGCCGCGCCGGUGAAGAAGAUUAGAGUCGACAAUAGGGACCACCAAGCGGAACCGUCUUCAGAGCCGCCCCUCUGCCCCCAACAGUAGCUGCCAGCGCCUGCGAUCAGCCGAUAUUCCCUCCCGAACUUUUCGAACUGUCCCGAGACUGCCCCUGCGGGGGCAGCUGAGACGGGGGGGAAGACGAAGAGGAGGGGGGGGACGCCAUCCUGCCCCUGCGGUGCCGCAAGGGCCUGUGUAAAAACUCAGCGUUUUUCGCAAGCCGAUUCGAGUCUAGUUUAGAAGUUGCCGUUAAAGUUUAAAAUGCUUAAAUUCCCCGCUCGCCCCAGCGGCGUAAAGAAAGUAACUCCUAAAAGUUUUGCCUCUGUUCCCCAGCCCAGGGCGAGUGGGGGUGAGAGUAGUACCAAGGAGCUGUAAAUUAACCCUGUGAGUACACCAAAGGGAACUGCAUAACUGUAAAGAAUCUAAAAGCCUGUGUUAUAUAGACCUUUUUAACCAUUCGCAGUCUAUUUACUCCCAGCUCUCUGAGUUGCAGAGGUUAACUAGAAACUUACAAGUAAAAUUAAGCUUUAGUGUUGAUAGAUAGCUCAAAUCCGUAAACCUAAGAUUAUAGCUAUGUUUUAUUGUUAAAGCUAGUAUUAUAGUAAACAUUAUAGCUUUGUUAAUAGUAUUAGUUUUGCUUUGUUUUUGCAUGUGCUUAUAAAAAAUAGUGUAAAAAAUAAUAUUUACUGCAUUUAGUCAAAUAUUGCUUGUGCAAAAAGAAAACAGGGGAAUUGUUGGGAAUUGGUUACAUGACAAAGGUCACGUAGACAUGCUCUGGAUAGCUGAGAAUUGGAAAAGUACUGGCCCAGCUAAUCUGGGCCCUGCACCUGCAAGGCCGCAGUGGCCUUGAGUAUAGUUGUAGUCUGAUAACAAGAUGAUGUAGCCGAGAGCAGAGCAUGAGAAAAGGGAGAUGUAAGCUGUAAAGAAUGAAGAAGUAAGAAUAACCAAUAGACUGCUUAGCUUACAGAAUAUGCAUGAGCUUAUUACAUGUUGUGCUUAAAUGUCUGAUGCUCUAAUCAAUAAACGAAGCUUGCUGAUUCUCACA